rnacentral:rRNA from 1 species
UGGGGAAUUUUGGACAAUGGGCGAAAGCCUGAUCCAGCAAUGCCGCGUGUGUGAAGAAGGCCUUCGGGUUGUAAAGCACUUUUGUCCGGAAAGAAAUCCUUGGCUCUAAUACAGUCGGGGGAUGACGGUACCGGAAGAAUAAGCACCGGCUAACUACGUGCCAGCAGCCGCGGUAAUACGUAGGGUGCAAGCGUUAAUCGGAAUUACUGGGCGUAAAGCGUGCGCAGGCGGUUUGCUAAGACCGAUGUGAAAUCCCCGGGCUCAACCUGGGAACUGCAUUGGUGACUGGCAGGCUAGAGUAUGGCAGAGGGGGGUAGAAUUCCACGUGUAGCAGUGAAAUGCGUAGAGAUGUGGAGGAAUACCGAUGGUGAAGGCAGCCCCCUGGGCCAAUACUGACGCUCAUGCACGAAAGCGUGGGGAGCAAACAGGAUUAGAUACCCUGGUAGUCCACGCCCUAAACGAUGUCAACUAGUUGUUGGGGAUUCAUUUCCUUAGUAACGUAGCUAACGCGUGAAGUUGACCGCCUGGGGAGUACGGUCGCAAGAUUAAAACUCAAA